GGGUUGUGAGGUUAAGCGACUAAGCGUACACGGUGGAUGCCCUGGCAGUCAGAGGCGAUGAAGGACGUGCUAAUCUGCGAAAAGCGACGGUAAGGUGAUAUGAACCGCUACAGCCGUCGAUGUCCGAAUGGGGAAACCCAAUGCACUUGUGCAUUAUCGUUAACUGAAUACAUAGGUUAACGAGGCGAACCGGGGGAACUGAAACAUCUAAGUACCCCGAGGAAAAGAAAUCAACCGAGAUUCCCCCAGUAGCGGCGAGCGAACGGGGAGCAGCCCAGGACCUGAAUCAGCUUGUGCAUCAGUGGAAGCGUCUGGAAAGUCGCGCGAUACCGGGUGACAGCCCCGUACACGAAGAUGCAUAAGUUGUGAGUCCGACGAGUAGGGCGGGACACGUGGUAUCCUGUCUGAACAUGGGGGGACCAUCCUCCAAGGCUAAAUACUCCUGACUGACCGAUAGUGAACCAGUACCGUGAGGGAAAGGCGAAAAGAACCCCGGCGAGGGGAGUGAAACAGAACCUGAAACCGUGUACGUACAAGCAGUGGGAGCACCUUUAGGGUGUGACUGCGUACCUUUUGUAUAAUGGGUCAGCGACUUAUAUUCUGUAGCAAGGUUAACCGUAUAGGGGAGCCGAAGGGAAACCGAGUCUUAACCGGGCGUUAAGUUGCAGGGUAUAGACCCGAAACCCGGUGAUCUAGCCAUGGGCAGGUUGAAGGUUGGGUAACACUAACUGGAGGACCGAACCGACUAAUGUUGAAAAAUUAGCGGAUGACUUGUGGCUGGGGGUGAAAGGCCAAUCAAACCGGGAGAUAGCUGGUUCUCCCCGAAAGCUAUUUAGGUAGCGCCUCGUGAACUCAUCUCCGGGGGUAGAGCACUGUUUCGGCUAGGGGGCCAUCCCGGCUUACCAACCCGAUGCAAACUGCGAAUACCGGAGAAUGUUAUCACGGGAGACACACGGCGGGUGCUAACGUCCGUCGUGAAGAGGGAAACAACCCAGACCGCCAGCUAAGGUCCCAAAGUCAUGGUUAAGUGGGAAACGAUGUGGGAAGGCACAGACAGCCAGGAUGUUGGCUUAGAAGCAGCCAUCAUUUAAAGAAAGCGUAAUAGCUCACUGGUCGAGUCGGCCUGCGCGGAAGAUGUAACGGGGCUAAACCAUGCACCGAAGCUGCGGCAGCGACACUAUGUGUUGUUGGGUAGGGGAGCGUUCUGUAAGCCGCUGAAGGUGAACUGUGAGGUUUGCUGGAGGUAUCAGAAGUGCGAAUGCUGACAUAAGUAACGAUAAAGCGGGUGAAAAGCCCGCUCGCCGGAAGACCAAGGGUUCCUGUCCAACGUUAAUCGGGGCAGGGUGAGUCGACCCCUAAGGC
rnacentral:rRNA from 1 species